CUGUUGCAUAAUUCUUGUUUUGCAGUGUUGUCACCAUUCAUGUUCAGGGAAAAGAUCUAAAAUCUGGAGCAACCUCACAUGGAAGUCUGCAUUUGGUAGAUCUUGCUGGUAGUGAAAGAGUUGACAGGUCUGAAGCAACUGGAGAUAGGUUGAGGGAAGCAUAGCAUAUCAAUAAAUCACUAUCAGCUUUAGGGGAUGUUAUCUUUUCACUUUCUCAGAAAAACCCCCAUGUACCUUACAGAAAUAGCAAGCUUACGCAGGUUCUUCAAGCGUCUCUAGGUGGUCGAGCAAAGACACUUAUGUUUGUUCAGGUUAAUCCUGAUGUUAGUUCGUACUCUGAAUCAUUAAGCACUUUAAAGUUUGCUGAAAGGGUGUCCGGUGUUGAGCUGGGUGCUGCUCGGAGUAGCAAAGAGGGCAGAGAUGUCAGAGAAUUAAUGGAUCAGUGACUGCUUUCACUUCUGAUUCUGAGCGGCUAUUCAGGAUGCCUGCUGCAGACCUCUUCCGCAUCAAACACACAGAUUUUCUCCAAGCAUUGGUACUAUAAUAUAUGCUUUGCUUCAGGAAGUGAUUACACUUAUUGGAGCAACUUUAAUCGACAGAGUAGGAAGAAAGCCAAUGCUCUUGGUAUAUACUCCGAGGAAUGCGCCUUAUGCUAGUGAGGAAUUGAUGUGGUUCGUGAGCAAUUGGCUAACUUUUUUACCAGCAAGUAUUUAUUAUUGGCCUGAGCGCGCUUGGUCGAGUUGUUUGAUAUUAAAAUGUAUGCGUACGUUGAAAUUGGAACGAACAAAUAUUUAAAUGUAGUACUUGCACUUUGGAUUUGGGAUAUAUUAAUAUACAAAACAACAGUUAUUGUUUUUAUAUUUGUUAUACAGGUUGCGAUAUUCUAUUA